rnacentral:lncRNA from 1 species
GGUUCAUAGAUAGGGGUUAGGUUAUCUCAUAACUAUGUGGGCGGAAGCGAGAGGGAGGGGAAUGCCUACGUCACUCGUACGACAAAGUCAAGUUUGACAGUUGUAUGUGGUUAUAUUUCCGCAUAUUUUUGUGGAAUUUUCUUAUAAUAUCGUUUAUUUGUUUAAUAUUUGUUGAGUUUUUAAGCAUAUAAGGACUAUAUUACUAUAAUUACUUAUUUGGGUCCUAUACAAAGGCAGUAAUGACUUGUGAAGUGUGUUUUCGUAACCGUGUAAAAUGAGUGGUGGUAACAUUUGUAGCAUAGCUAUAUGUA